UUCCACUCAGACGGUUUACUGAAGUGGUGAUAUGCACCUGGAACCCCAGCACUCUGGGAGGCUGAGGCAGGAGGAU
rnacentral:miRNA from 1 species